CGCGUUUGUGACAAAAGUCGCAGGCUCGACAAAAACCACACCAUUAAAAAUUGUUUGGUGAUGAGAUGUAAACAAUAUAUUCAGGUUAAUAUAAUGGGUACCCAGGUUAGGGCAGGAUGGUGCCUUCAAAUUAGUUCAGCCCCGCCACAUUCGGUAUGUGCCUGUCCCAAGUCAGGAGCAUGUAAUUCAGUGUAAUGGUUGUCGUUUGUUGCUGUAUCAUAUUUGUUUUUCUUUCAUUAUUUUGUACAUAAAUCAGGCCGUUAGUUUUCUC
rnacentral:lncRNA from 1 species